AGUUGCAGUGUGUGUUGCUACCAACAGGCAGUCUUCAGCUUUCCACCAUCUUUAAGGAUGGCCUCAGGAAAGCAACUGAAGACAGACUGUUCUAAGAACUAAGAGAAUGAAUCUGGCUGACGUGUGGAGAGAAGAGAUGGACCAAGAUACUGCAUUGUGUCAGCUAGAAAUUUUGAGCUCUGGCGAUCUCAGUAACAUUAUACAAAUUCUUCCUGAAAGGAAUGAGCUUAUCCUCAGAAACAUCCCAGAACCCUUCACCAGUGUGGAAAACGGAGUUGUUCUGCAAGAUAAGAUAAUUAAUUCGUCUUUGUGUCAGUGCAGCCUGCUUCAAGAGCUUCAUUCUGAACCACAAAAUGUACUUACCCAAGUACAACGUUUAAGUAACUAAUCUGCAUCAAUUGAUGUCCAUGGAAGACCUCACGAAUGUCUGUAUUCUCUUCAAAUUCCUGGUUGCUGAGUUUAUAUGUUAAUUCUGGCAGUGCCUUUGUGAAUUGACUCUUUGCAUGUGAGUGUUGCUGAAGGUGAAAUUCUCUUCUAUAAUCACAAAGAUACUGGUAGUGAAGAGACAAUUGCUUCAAAACCCUAUUUAGAUGAACAGUACUACAUUGGUGCAAAAUUUAAAAAAUUAUAAUAUAGGAGUCAAUAUCAUUUCCGGUAUGGCCCCAUUAAUGUCUUUCCAGAAUCAGUGAUGUAGUAGUGAGUAAUGCUUCAUCAUUUUAUAAAUAAAAC
rnacentral:lncRNA from 1 species